rnacentral:ncRNA from 1 species
CAAAGGUUUGGUCCUGGCCUUUUUAUUAACUUUUAGUAAACUUACACAUGCAAAUAUCCUUGCCCCAGUGAGAAUGCCCUCUAAAUCAAUAUGAUCAAAAGGAGCAGGUAUCAAGCCCACUAUUUACAGUUGCUCACAACACCUUGCUCAACCACACCCCCACGGGAUACAGCAGUGAUUAAAAUUAAGCUCAUGAACGAAAGUUUGACUAAGUUAUACUAAUAUUAGGGUUGGUAAAUUUCGUGCCAGCCACCGCGGUCAUACGAUUAACCCCAGUUAAUAAAACACGGCGUAAAGCGUGAUUAAAAUAUCCCUCCCAAUAAGACUAAGCCCAAACUAAGCUGUAAAAAGCCCUAGUUACAAUAAAAAUAAUUUAAGCGAAAGUAGUCUUAAAACUUUUGAACUCACGAUAGCUAAGACCCAAACUGGGAUUAGAUACCCCACUAUGCUUAGCCCUAAACAUAAACACUCAACUAACAAGACUGUUCGCCAGAGUACUACUAGCCGCAGCUAAAAACUCAAAGGACUUGGCGGUGCUUUAUAUCCCUCUAGAGGAGCCUGUUCUAUAAUCGAUAAACCCCGUUACACCUCACCACCUUUAGCAAAUAUCAGCCUAUAUACCGCCAUCUUCAGCAAACCUUAACAAAGCCUCACAGUAAGCACAAUAAUAACACAUAAAUACGUUAGGUCAAGGUGUAGCCUAUAAGGUGGAAAGAAAUGGGCUACAUUUUCUACAAACCAGAACAAUUACUUUACGAUAGCUUCCAUGAAAUUUAAAGCCCAAGGCGGAUUUAGUAGUAAGCUAAGAAUAGAGAGCUUAGCUGAAUCGGGCAAUAAAGCACGCACACACCGCCCGUCACCCUCUUCAAAUCCWACACACAGAUAAAUAAUACUUAAUUUUAUCCAUAGUGUGNUAURAGAAGAGAUAAGUCGUAACAAGGUAAACAUACUGGAAAGUGUGUUUGGAAUAAU